AGGGGAGUAGCUCAAUUGGUAGAGCAACGGUCUCCAAAACCGUAGGUUGCGUGUUCGAUUCGCGUCUCCCCUGCCA
rnacentral:tRNA from 1 species